rnacentral:rRNA from 1 species
AGCCUGAUGCAGCGACGCCGCGUGAGUGAAGAAGUAUCUCGGUAUGUAAAGCUCUAUCAGCAGGGAAGAAAAUGACGGUACCUGACUAAGAAGCCCCGGCUAACUACGUGCCAGCAGCCGCGGUAAUA